CGGAGACUGUGCCGACAUGGAGCUGGGCCUCGCGGGCCGCCGGGUGCUGGUCACCGGGGCAGGCAAAGGUGGGCGGCGGGGAAAGGUGGGCAAAGGCCGGCGGCGGGCAGAGGCGGGCAGGGGACGCCCUCACUGAGCCCGCUCCCGGCAGGUAUAGGGCGCGGCACGGUCCAGGCGCUGCACGCGACGGGCGCGCGGGUGGUGGCUGUGAGUCGGACUCAGGCGGAUCUUGACAGCCUUGUCCGCGAGUGCCCGGGGAUAGAACCCGUGUGCGUGGACCUGGGUGACUGGGAGGCCACCGAGCGGGCGCUGGGCAGCGUGGGCCCCGUGGACCUGCUGGUGAACAACGCCGCUGUCGCCCUGCUGCAGCCCUUCCUGGAGGUCACCAAGGAGGCCUUUGACAGAUCCUUUGAGGUGAACCUGCGUGCGGUCAUCCAGGUGUCACAGGUGAGCUGCCCUGUGGGCUGGACGGGAAUUCUCGUGAGUGAUGCCAGCUCUGCCUCACGGUCUCGCUGCAAUUCCAGAUUGUGGCCAGGGGCUUAAUAGCCCGGGGAGUCCCAGGGGCCAUCGUGAAUGUCUCCAGCCAGGGCUCCCAGCGGGCAGUAACUAACCAUAGCGUCUACUGCUCCACCAAGGGUGCCCUGGACAUGCUGACCAAGGUGAUGGCCCUAGAGCUCGGGCCCCACAAGGUGAGCAGGGCUGGGGUACCUCCCCCAACCUAGGGCACCCCACUUGCCCUGCUGACCCCAGCUGUCCCGGUGUAGAUCCGAGUGAAUGCAGUAAACCCCACAGUGGUGAUGACGCCCAUGGGCCAGGCCGCCUGGAGUGACCCCCACAAGGCCAAGACUAUGCUGGACCGAAUCCCACUUGGCAAGUUUGCUGAGGUAGAGCACGUGGUGGACGCCAUCCUCUUUCUGCUGAGUGACCGAAGUGGCAUGACCACGGGCUCCACUUUGCCGGUGGAAGGGGGCUUCUGGGCCUGCUGAGCUCCCUCCACACACCUCAAACCCCAUGCCGUGCUCAUCCUACCCCCAAUCCCUCCAAUAAACCUGAUUCUGCUGCCCAGA
rnacentral:sRNA from 1 species